AUUGAACGCUGGCGGCAUGCCUUACACAUGCAAGUCGAACGGCAGCACGGGGCAACCUGGUGGCGAGUGGCGAACGGGUGAGUAAAGUAUCGGAACGUACCAUUCAGUGGGGGAUAACGUAGCGAAAGUUACGCUAAUACCGCAUAUUCUCUCCGGAGGAAAGCAGGGGAGCGCAAGACCUUGCGCUGAUUGAGCGGCCGAUAGCAGAUUAGCUAGUUGGUGAGGUAAAGGCUCACCAAGGCGACGAUCUGUAGCGGGUCUGAGAGGAUGAUCCGCCACACUGGAACUGAGACACGGUCCAGACUCCUACGGGAGGCAGCAGUGGGGAAUUUUGGACAAUGGGGGCAACCCUGAUCCAGCCAUGCCGCGUGAGUGAAGAAGGCCUUCGGGUUGUAAAGCUCUUUCGGCCGGGAAGAAAUCGCAUGGGUUAAUACCCUGUGUGGAUGACGGUACCGGAAUAAGAAGCACCGGCUAACUACGUGCCAGCCGCCGCCGUAAUAC
rnacentral:rRNA from 1 species